rnacentral:rRNA from 1 species
CCUAAUAUCUAGCUUAUACUUCUUUACCCAAACCACACCAACCAAAACAUUAUUUCAUUUUAGUAGGGGGGAUAGAAAAAUUAAUAAACGCUUUAAACCUAGUACCGCAAGGGAAUGAUGAAAUAAUAAUGAAAUACUACAAAGCCCCAUACAGCAAAGCUUAAUACUUGUACCUUUUGCAUCAUGACCAAGCCAGUUUAACCAAGUAAAAAGCAAAUUUUAACUUGACACCCCGAAACUGGGUGAGCUACUUCAAAAUAAUCUAUAGGAUAAACCCGUCCCUGUUGCAAAAGGGUGGGAAAAUUUUCUAGUAGUGGUGAAAAGCUUAUCGAACCCAGAGAUAGCUGGUUUUCCAAGAAAAGAAUUUUAGUUCUACCUUAAGUUUAUGUAUUUACCCUAACAAUUUAUUAAACUUAAGAGCUACUCAAAUAAGGUACAGCUUAUUUGACCUAGGACACAACCUCAUGCCCCGGGUAAUAUUUUUAUUUCUCCCAAGUAGGCCUAAAAGCAGCCUAAAAAGCGUUAAAGCUUCCUUAAUUUUCUCUUCCCCAAUUUCCAACUUCUUUAUUAACCCUCACUUAUUAUUGGAUGACUCCAUAACUAUAUGGAAGACACCAUGCCUGGACUAGUAACAAGAAUAUGAAGUUCUCCUAAAUGUCUGCAUAAGCCAUAAUGGACCAACCAAUGGCAAUUAAAUUAUGACCCCCACUACAACACCGCUCCCCGCAAAACUUGUAGAUCUUAAUGUCAACCUUACACAAGAGCACUAUAGGAAAGAUUAAAAGGAAGAGAAGGAACUCGGCAAACCUUAACCCCGCCUGUUUACCAAAAACAUCGCCUUUUGUUAAAACAUAAAAGGUCCAGCCUGCCCAGUGAUUUUUAAACGGCCGCGGUACCCUAACCGUGCUAAGGUAGCACAAUUACUUGUCUUUUAAAUGAGGACUAGAAUGAAUGUCAUCACGAGGGUUAAACUGUCUCCUCCCCCCAAUCAGUGAAACUGACCUCCCCGUGAAAAGGCGGGGAUUAAAAUAUUAGACGAGAAGACCCCAUGGAACUUUAGACACUGAGCAAAUCUAGACCUUAUUCUCCCAACCCCUGAUUCUUGCCUCUUAGUCUUCGGUUGGGGCGACCACGGAGCAAAAAUCAACCUCCAUGAUGAAUGAACAUUUCUUAUCCAAGAGAUACAUCUCAAAGAAACAGAACACUGACAUUCUGAUCCGAACUUUCGAUCAACGAAACAAGCUACCCUGGGGAUAACAGCGCAAUCUGCCUCAAAAGUCCAUAUUGACAGACAGGUUUACGACCUCGAUGUUGGAUCGGGAUAUCCUAGUGGUGCAGCCGCUACAUAAGGUUCGUUGUUCA